GUAGGUGGCAAGCGUUGUCCGGAAUUAUUGGGCGUAAAGCGCGCGCAGGCGGGUUUUUUAAGUCUGAUGUGAAAGCCCACGGGCUCAACCGUGGAGGGUCAUUGGAAACUGGAGAACUUGAGUACAGAAGAGGAAAGCGGAAUUCCACGUGUAGCGGUGAAAUGCGUAGAGAUGUGGAGGAACACCAGUGGCGAAGGCGGCUUUCUGGCCUGUAACUGACGCUGAGGCGCGAAAGCGUGGGGAGCAAACAGGAUUAGAUACCCUGGUAGUCCACGCCGUAAACGAUGAGUGCUAAGUGUUAGGGGGUUUCCGCCCCUUAGUGCUGCAGCUAACGCAUUAAGCACUCCGCCUGGGGAGUACGGCCGCAAAGGCUG
rnacentral:rRNA from 1 species